GCUUCUACCUAUUUGUUGUUGUAGCUCCGUCUACUUUUGUCCACUCCGCUUUAGUCAUAGUUCCUUCGUGUCACAGGGCGCCGGAAGUUGGCAGACCCGUUGUCACGACGUGGGGGUUUUCGCAACUUACUGCGAGGAUUGUUCUCCCGGGAUGCAAACGGACUUUUCCGGACAAAGGUAGCAGCGUCAUCCUGGGCCGGCUUUGCAUGCGCCUCCUCACCCACGGGAAGCGUGGCAACAAGAAAACAUGUAAACGGCGACAGACACCACUGGAGGCAGGCGGCCCUGUCAGAACGUCUGAUGCUGUCUGAUGUGUGGAUGGAAAUGAACACAUGAACCCAGGUGGACGAGGCCUCCGUGUGUGCGCACAAU